CAUACUUUGAAAUUCUUAUAUGUAAGGUUUCAAAAUCUUGAUAUAUAUUUUUUAAUCAUGAAUACAUGUGAUAUUUACACAGUUUUACACAUGUAUAAAGUGGAAACCCCCCCCCCCUUCUUUUUCCAAACUGAUUUGUAUUGAAAAUAUCCGACAAUCCUGUAAGAGUUAUUGCCCUUUGUAGUUUGACUCCUCCAGCCAAACAAAGAAAAUGGCAGCCAUUAUGGACACUGUCCACCACCAGAGGUGAAUCAUCUGAGUAUUACAGAUACAGGUAAAUACAGAAGUAAUGAAAGGAGUCAACAUCAAUACAAUAUCUGCAGGUAAGGCUUGAAAACCAUUAUAAAAAACAUCAUUACUGCAUGCAUCUGCACAUCAGAAUUUAAGCUUUUAUUUUCAGUCUAGCCAAGCCUGGUAAGUCCAGCCCUGAGGCAAAGUUUUCAUAAUACCUUUUAUCACUUAAGAAAAUCAUAUUUUAAAACAUGGAUAUAUAUUUACUGAGGGAGUUAAUCAAGCAAAUGGUGCACCCUCUAAUUAUUUCUUGGCAAAUCUUCUGAACUCUUAUUCUUUGCAAAAAUCCAGAGGGGAAGAAAGUUGUAAGAUUCACGUUGUUGUUAAGUUACUUCCCUUGUUUGAGAUAUGUGUUUGGAAUAUUUUGAUAUAUUUUUUUCUAUUUCUUUCCCCAUUUUCUAAGAAUUAACAACCAUGUUUGAUGUUAAAUUUCCAUGCUUUUAACAGCUGUGCAGCCUCUGUACAAUGUGAGCCACCAAACAGUUUGGGUUGUGGUAAAACUAGGACGGGUGGUCAAUCAUUCUGUCAGAGGAAGACUGAGGAGCCUUAAUUACAAGAUACAGAAAGGCCAGUCUGGAGCUCAGCAUUGUUUGAAAUGGAGCUGACUAGUUAGCUUGUUCACACAGAAAGGUCAAGAAAUUCAUUUUCCCGAUGAAGAAGAGAAAUUCAGAAAAUCCUGCACCUUCCAGUCACUGAUCAACUAAGAAGUUUUCGAGAGAUAAGUUUUGUUUUCUUCACAAAAUCAGCAAUGUCCAUGCCAGACAGACUAUUUAGAGCCAGUCUUAAUCAGCCUUGAACUACCACAACUGACAAAUUCUUGUCUGACCUACAAAAGAGUCUCAAAAAAGAAAAUGUCCGACCAUUCAAAAUUAAUGGCGUAUCCAAAGGGAGAUUACUCAUGCUGGCCUAGACAUUAACUGGCUGUCUAAAAAACAAGUGGGCCACUUGGUGUAUGCUACGGCAGGUCACAAUGAAUACUGAUGUCACUGUUGUUUGUUAAUUCUCUUGUCUGGUUGACACAGCCUUGAGGCCAGGUAUUAACUUAUAUCAUUACCGUCCCAUCUUAGCAUGUAAAACAUUGAGAUGCAUUAAAGGAUUUCCUUUAUUUUGUGAAAAAAGUGUUUUUAUUUAAUACAUGUACAUUGAUGGAACAUGGAUAUACAAUGAUGGUAGUCAAACAAUGACCUGAGAUUUAAUCUUGCUUGAAGUUGCAUUAUGUACUUAAUGGAGAUGUUUUACAGGAAAACAGCUGUUAUGGUUGAAUGCAUUUUGUAAUUAAUUGACAUGGUUUUCUCUAUUUUCAUUGGAAGUAGGUCAUGUUCAAAUCACCUUUUUCAUCAUUUUUGCAUCAUUUUCCUGUUUAUAUUAAGUCACACAAUGAAUCAAAAUAAAGCACUUGUAUCAGCAAAACUCACAGUGGCAAUCCUGACCCAGGUCACAUAGUACAUGUUUAUAUACCUGCAUUAUAACACAUUUAUAAAGCAUUCACUAGGGCUGAGCUGGUAUUUUGAGCAGGAUAAUUAUAGGGAUUCUUUAUCAUCAUUUUUGUUUCCUGGUGGUAAACUGAUAGUGGUAAUAUAAACAAGCAGUAAUGUAAUGGCAAGUAAUUCAAGUGUCAAACUCCAUGCAAGAAACAGUAAUGAUGGUGGUGUGAAAUGACAAAAGUAC